GACGAACGCUGGCGGCGUGCUUAACACAUGCAAGUCGAACGAAGUGGCGAACGGGUGAGUAACGCGUAAUCAACCUGCCCUUCAGCGGGGGACAACAGUUGGAAACGACUGCUCAUACCGCAUAAGGAAGGAGGGGAUUGCGUUUGAUUAGCUAGUGGGAGGGGACACGGCCGACCAAGGCGAUGAUCAGUAGCCGGUCUGGGGGGGUGAACGACCACAUUGGGACUGAGACACGGCCCAGACUCCUACGGGAGGCAGCAGUGGGGAAUCUUCCGAAAUGGACGAAAGUCUGACGGAGCAACGCCGCGUGAGUGAUGACGGCCUUCGGGUUGUAAAGCUCUGUUAAUCGGGACGCGGUACCGGAAUAGAAAGCCACGGCUAACUACGUGCCAGCCGCCGCGGUAAUAC
rnacentral:rRNA from 1 species